UAUUUCUGUGAGAUCAGGUUGCUAUUAUCUCCCUAUUACUCUAAUCUUUCCUGCUUAUCGCUCAAAUGAUUAAUUUCUAUAUUAAUAUCGGUACUCAUUUAAGAUACCUUCAUCAGUUACCGGAGGCCACUGUCUAACAUCAUCAAUCCAGCUAUUCAUGAUGCUGUCAUUGUAGAGAGUCAGUUCACAAUGACAGCAUAAUGAAUUGAUGACUGACACAUGUCACUGCAGCAAUGGCGCCGCCGCAAGAUGGCGGCAUACACAAAUCGCUCGCCGGAUUUGUCUAUACUUGACAUUAUAUGAGGUUCCAGUGAGUGGACUUUGAGUCAUUUUAAGGUACAUCGUGACACUGAUAAAGACAUGCCACAUCACACACACAUCACACUUCUGAGGAAGUGUCACUUGGUGGUGACACUUCUGAGGAAGACGGAAGUUUCCGCCGAAACAUGUCAAGGUAUGUAACAUUCUAACAUGUCUGAUAUAAAAGAACAACUAAAGUCAUUAUAAAUAGAGAGAUGUUGAGCUCUUCAAACAACUAUCAGUAAGUGUGUGCUUGUAAAUCAUGUUAAAACUUGUCAAGAAGGGUAAUGGCCCUCGUAGCUGUCUUUUUGUGCUUGACACUGUCCGCUCUUAGGUUCUUCAAUGGGUCCGCAGCUCCUGGUCAUCUUGGCAUGAGUUGCAUCUUGUCCCUGCUGGUGGCCCUCCAUAAAUGCUGACACCCAGGCCUCAUUAUCUACCUCAAAGUUUUCACUCAAGCUCCCCACAGCCUUUGAAACAACCAGCCUCCGGGUUAAUCAUGUGGUUGGCCGCCAUGGACUACCCACUGACCCACUGUCAAGCUUUAAUAUCUACUUUAUCUUCUGGUUACCAUCUACGGACCAACGGAGCGGGCCAACCAAGACCUGGGCGCAGCAUCACUGCCAAAAAUCCUUCCUUCUUCCUCCUUCCUCCAAAAAUCCAUUAAAUCCCUGUUGCCAUUGGAAUGUGGUUUUGUUUCUGGCCACCUCUGUUCCUUCCUCAUGGUGACGACUUCACUGUGCCCUUGCCCCAGGGUAAACUCCGCUGUUGCCAUAGGAUGGAUGGAUACAUGGGUGGCCUUACUGCGCACAGCUGACAGCUGACAGCAACCAGCGCAUUGCUGACCACCACUGAACUUGAGCCCACAAUUACUAACCAGGUCAGAGUGUUUGGCUUUCCUCAAAAGAUCUUCCCCUGACAACUGAUUCUAUGAAACUUAUGCCCCAUUACUUGGGCCCCUAUGUUAUGGACACCAUCAUGAAUCCCACCGUCAUCAGAUCAAACAAACCUCCUUUCUUCUGCCUCGCUCCAACCCUUCCACACUUUGCCACUUGUCCAACAUUAUCACCCCACUGACAAAACCUCCAGGAGAUCUUCCCCCAUUUCCACCUUCCACUGACAAAGCCUCCAGGAGAUCGUCCCCCAUUUCCACCUCCCAAAGGACUGCAAUAAAAUCCCAUCCAUCCAUCUUCGUAACCGCUUAUCCUCUUGAGAGUCGCGGGGGGGCUGGAGCCUAUCCUCGAGGUACACCCAGGACAGGUAACCAGACUAUUGCAGGGCAAACACAUUGAGACAGACAACCAUUCACACUCACAUUCACACCUAUGGACAAUUUAGAGUCACCAAUUAACCUAUCCCCAACCUGCAUGUGCAUGUCAUGGACUGUGGGAGGAAGCCAGAGUACCCAGAGAAAACCCACACUGACACUGGGAAAACAUGCAAACUCUGCACAGAAAGGCUGCCUCCUGGGAUUGAACAAGGAACCCUCUUGGUGUGAGGCGACAGUGCUAACCACCACUCCACCAUGCCACCCUGCAAUAAAAUCCCAUUCUCAUCAAAUCUCACUGGAGAUGAGGUUUAAAACUUUGGUGUUUUAAAGGGUUAGUUCAGAUUCAGUCAAGUCACACAAUAACACAAACACACUACUGAUCAAGGCAGCAGUAGACCAGCAGUUCCUGUGUUCAGUGAGGUAAAACUGCUAUUUUUGACAAUGGAGUCUGGCUUUGAAGAGAGCAUGGAUUUACGUUGAGUACAGUUUUAAAUACUAAGGUUUUAAUAAAAAUGCACGUGUUUGGAAAGAACUGAGCAUAUGACUGGAUAAAUCAGACAUGGAGUUUGUAAAUGGAUGUUUUGGUGUCAUUUUAUUAAACAAAGUUUUCUUAACAAGUUCAACACAGCACAAGGUGAGUAAUUAAUACACAAAUGAUAAUUUGAGGGUGAUGUAUUCCUUUAACUCUCCUCCUCUCCAGAACAAAUGGACCUGGUGAUUUAAAUUGGUACAAACACUGAAUAAAGCAAAUUCACAUAAAAAAAAAAAUCAGUGUUAUUCUGAUGCUCUCAUCAUGAAGGGGCUGCUAACUAUGGUGGCCAACACAAAAAUGCAAACACC